AAGAUUCAAAUGUGCAAGCGGUGAUGUACCAGUCCAGCCUGUGCUACUACUCCAGCAGGGCAGCGGCUCUGCUCCGCACAAGUGCAUCCGGAAGAGCACAGGGAUUUCCCGCAGCUUCCUGUUGGAGGUGGGCGACCCAGACCGAAAUGGAGUCAUAAUAGAUGGCAGCGGCAGAUUCGUCAUUCCCAUCAUAGACGCUGAGGCCUAUGCUGCUGAGAAGAGAAAGAGGCCGUCCUUCUCCUGCCAGACCGAGCCUUUGCCCUCCUCGUCCUCAGCAGGUGCGGCAUCUUCGGUCCUGGAACCCACUCCCUAUCUCCACCAGAGACGCACUG